rnacentral:rRNA from 1 species
GAUGAACGCUGGCGGCGUGCCUAAUACAUGCAAGUCGAGCGAACAGAUAAGGAGCUUGCUCCUUUGACGUUAGCGGCGGACGGGUGAGUAACACGUGGGUAACCUACCUAUAAGACUGGGAUAACUUCGGGAAACCGGAGCUAAUACCGGAUAAUAUUUCGAACCGCAUGGUUCGAUAGUGAAAGAUGGUUUUGCUAUCACUUAUAGAUGGACCCGCGCCGUAUUAGCUAGUUGGUAAGGUAACGGCUUACCAAGGCGACGAUACGUAGCCGACCUGAGAGGGGGAACGGCCACAGUGGAAGUGAGACACGGCCCAGACUCCUACGGGAGGCAGCAGUAGGGAAGCUUGCGCAAUGGGCGAAAGCCUGACGGAGCAACGCCGCGUGAGUGAUGAAGGGCUGCGGAUCGUAAAACGCUGUUAUUAGGGAAGAACAUACGUGUAAGUAACGGUGCACGUCUGGACGGUACCUAAUCAGAAAGCCACGGCUAACUACGU